GAUGAACGCUGGCUACAGGCUUAACACAUGCAAGUCGAGGGGAAACGACGGGGAAGCUUGCUUCCCCGGGCGUCGACCGGCGCACGGGUGAGUAGCGCGUAUCCAACCUGCCUCUGACUGAGGGAUAACCCGUCGAAAGUCGGCCUAAUACCUCAUGGUAUCGUCUGCGGGCAUCCAACGACGAUUAAAGAUUUCAUCGGUCAGGGAUGGGGAUGCGUCUGAUUAGCUUGUUGGCGGGGUAACGGCCCACCAAGGCUACGAUCAGUAGGGGUUCUGAGAGGAAGGUCCCCCACAUUGGAACUGAGACACGGUCCAAACUCCUACGGGAGGCAGCAGUGAGGAAUAUUGGUCAAUGGGCGAGAGCCUGAACCAGCCAAGUAGCGUGCAGGAAGACGGCCCUAUGGGUUGUAAACUGCUUUUAUGCGGGGAUAAAGUGAGGGACGUGUCCCUCAUUGCAGGUACCGCAUGAAUAAGGACCGGCUAAUUCCGUG
rnacentral:rRNA from 1 species